rnacentral:rRNA from 1 species
UACGAAGGGGGCUAGCGUUGUUCGGAUUUACUGGGCGUAAAGCGCACGUAGGCGGAUUGUUAAGUCAGGGGUGAAAUCCCGGAGCUCAACUCCGGAACUGCCUUUGAUACUGGCAAUCUUGAGGCUGGAAGAGGUUAGUGGAAUUCCCAGUGUAGAGGUGAAAUUCGUAGAUAUUGGGAGGAACACCGGUGGCGAAGGCGGGACUCUGGGCCGAUACUGACGCUGAGGAGCGAAAGCGUGGGGAGCGAACAGG